AUUUCCCCAGGGGAAGAAUUUAGGAUCCUUUAGUAGGAAAACGAGCCCGGCUGCUCAUCUAUCGUUCUGCCAUUUUGGGAGUAGGGGGUCAUAUUUUCAUUGUGACUCACCAUGGGUGCGGCUUUUCUAUUUGAAAGUGUGUUACGUGGUUCCUGAAAGCCUCAUUCGUUUUAGCAGUACUUCAGGCGAAUUGUGGGCAUUUCUCGGCCGUUAACUGUGAUAAUGGUCGUUGGUCUCGACGAUGGUGAAGACUUGAGGUAAGUACAUCACCUAAUCAUUGUCAUGCUGCGUGGGAUUGUUACUUGAAAUGGUAUUGGUGGUUAUUUGUUUCAGCUUCAGGAGUAAAGCGAUUAAGUCCUCUAGUUUGGCUUGGGCGAUGGCACUGAAGCUUUUGGAAGUUGACCUUAAAGUGCUGUUGAGUGUUUGUAUUGUUGAACGGCCUCGGAAAAUGACGAUAUUUGUGAUCUACGAGUGUGGUCGAAUUUUUGGGAUGAGUAUGGCUUUGAGGUAAUAUUUUGGGGGCUAUAGCGGCAAUGUAUUGGGACGCAAUGAUGGCCUUUGGAUUAUUACCAGACGAAGUAUUACUGAUGUCGACUGGCGCCUGUUUGUAGGUCAUUAGCGGUGUACAUUAUGGGCUUAUUUUUUCGAUCGCGCGGAGAUGGGGAGAUUGUACCCUCCGUGGUUGCGAUGUGGUGCGAGACGUUUGUAGUGGAGAUGGUGGCUGAUAGAGUCAGUCUGCUUCGGAGGAGAGAUGCGAAAGCACCCCCCACAACCCGGAUGCCUUGUUGAUUGCAUGUGGUUGGGGUUGUGUCGCCUAGGAAGUGGAAGGCUGUGCAAUUGUCGCUAAACACCCAUGUGAUUGCUUGAAAGUGAAGUAGUUGGUGUUUUUUUCCCGAAUGUCUGCGAGUUGAUGGUGGCGGGUGUGUUGUCGGACUGAGGCAGGAUGUUGGGGAUGCUACAUGCAUGCCGUGUAUGUGGUCGUGGACGCAUGCAGCAGAUGCUUGGCAGGCAGCCAUGUCAGGGAUUGAGUGUUUGGUUGAGAGUGUACUGCUGAGACCGCUGCUCGACUGCGGUUCAACUACUUCGCACACUAUCAGCGUUGGAGUCGCAGCUGACCCAGAAUGGUGGGUAGCGAUGGUAAGUGCCGCGUCGUUGCUUCGAUGUCAUCGCGUUUGUGGUGUAAGGGCAGGUUGGUACGUGUGGCACAUUGAGGUGAAGCAUGGCAAGCGCGUGAAAUAACGUCUCAACAAACAUGGAAAGUGAGGUGGGUCCUGUCUGCAUUCGUUACUGCUUGUUGCCCUACUGUGGCGCUCGAGCGCGGGUGUUCGGCCGCUUUAUGAGUUGCGUCACUUUACUGCCGUCGAAUCGACAUGCCUAGGCUUCAACACGACUUUCGGCAUCUCGUUAGCCUUGAAUCCAUUUAAGCAAACUGGUCAAUCACCGUCGUGACAGGGAUCGGGGCUUGGAAUUGUUCCCCGUGAACGAGGAAUUCCUAGUAAGUGCAAGUCAUAAGCUUGCGCUGAUUACGUCCCUGCCCUUUGUACACACCGCCCGUCGCUACUACCGAUUGAAUGGCUUAGUGAGAUCCUUGGAUCGGCGUCAUUGUGGCAGCUGCCGGAAGGUCGCUGUCCUGCAGUCGCCGAGAAGACGACCGAACUUGGUCAUUUAGAGGAAGUAAAAGUCGUAACAAGGUUUCCGUAGGUGAACCUGCGGAAGGAUCAUUA
rfam:Echinococcus multilocularis genomic scaffold, pathogen_EMT_contig_0280